GACAGAGGGGGCAAGCGUUGCUCGGAAUCACUGGGCGUAAAGGGCGCGUAGGCGGGAUGGCAAGUCGGUCGUGAAAUCCUUCGGCUCAACCGAAGAACGUCGGCCGAUACUGCCGUUCUUGAGGGAUGCAGAGGAGAUUGGAAUUCCCGGUGUAGCGGUGAAAUGUGUAGAGAUCGGGAGGAACGACCGGUGGCGAAGGCGGGGUCACUGGGCAUCUCCUGACGCUGAGGCGCGAAAGCGUGGGAAGCAAACGGGAGU
rnacentral:rRNA from 1 species